rnacentral:tRNA from 1 species
GCCUGGGUGGCUCGGUCGGUUAAGCAUCUGACUUCGGCUCAGGUCGUGAUCUCACGGUCCGUGGGUUCGAGCCCCACGGCGGGCU